CUAGUUGGCGGGGUAACGGCCCACCAAGGCGACGAUCAGUAGCCGGCCUGAGAGGGCGACCGGCCACAUUGGGACUGAGACACGGCCCAGACUCCUACGGGAGGCAGCAGUGGGGAAUAUUGCACAAUGGGGGAAACCCUGAUGCAGCGACGCCGCGUGAGCGAUGAAGUAUUUCGGUAUGUAAAGCUCUAUCAGCAGGGAAGAUAAUGACGGUACCUGACUAAGAAGCUCCGGCUAAAUACGUGCCAGCAGCCGCGGUAAUACGUAUGGAGCAAGCGUUAUCCGGAUUUACUGGGUGUAAAGGGAGNCGUAGGCGGUCCUGCAAGUCUGAUGUGAAAGCCGGGGCUCAACCCCGGGACUGCAUUGGAAACUGUAGGACUAGAGUGUCGGAGGGGUAAGUGGAAUUCCUAGUGUAGCGGUGAAAUGCGUAGAUAUUAGGAGGACACCAGUGGCGAAGGCG
rnacentral:rRNA from 1 species